rnacentral:ncRNA from 2 species
AGAACUGAAUGCGUGAAUAGUCGAAUGAAGGGGUAACGCCCUGAAAGGCUACUCUAAUACUCCGGCUGGCAUGGAAAUGAGUAAACAUUGAAAUGUCAGAAGCCCGGUGAAGUCGGCAGAGAGAUACCGUAACAAUAGUAGUUGACGAAAGCUGUCCAGAGGUGGAUGGUGUAUCCUAUAUGCCGGGAGUCUAUAAA